UGAGAGACUGCAUGUGGGGUUGUGUGCAUGUAUGUGCAUUGUUAGUGGUGUUAUGUUUGUGAGGAUUGUGUGUAUGUUUGUGUGUUGGCUGUUCAUAUUAUUUGUGUGAGGGGAGGGUUAUUCUGCAUCUCUGUGUAUAUCUAGUAGUGUGGGUGGCUUCCCUGGGUUCCAGUAGGGACCAGGCCGGCCAGGUACAGGUCAAUCACAGGAGCUGGAACAGCUCUACU